rnacentral:rRNA from 1 species
AGCGAACGCUAGCGGCGGGCCUAACACAUGCAAGUCGAGCGCAUACCUUCGGGUAUGAGCGGCGGACGGGUGAGUAACACGUAGGUAAUCUGCCCUGUGGUGGGGGAUAACCCGGGGAAACCCGGGCUAAUACCGCAUAUGGUCUACGGAUCAAAGCCUUCGGGCGCCAGAGGAUGAGCCUGCGUCGCAUUACCUAGUUGGCGGGGUAAAAGCCCACCAAGGGGACGAUGCGUAGCUGGUCUGAGAGGAUGAUCAGCCACACUGGGACUGAGACACGGCCCAGACUCCUACGGGAGGCAGCAGUGGGGAAUAUUGCGCAAUGGGCGAAAGCCUGACGCAGCUACGCCGCGUGGGUGAUGAAGGCCUUCGGGUUGUAAAGCCCUGUCGGGAGGGACGAAGUUCUGACGGUACCUCCCAAGAAAGCACCGGCUAACUCCGUGCCAGCCGCCGCCGUAAAAC